ACGGGUGAGUAACACGUGGGUAACCUGCCCAUAAGAGGGGGAUAACAUUCGGAAACGGAUGCUAAUACCGCAUAUUUCAAGUGACCGCAUGGUCGCUUGAUGAAAGGUGGCUUCGGCUACCGCUUAUGGAUGGACCCGCGGUGCAUUAGUUAGUUGGUGAGGUAAUGGCUCACCAAGACCAUGAUGCAUAGCCGACCUGAGAGGGUGAUCGGCCACACUGGGACUGAGACACGGCCCAGACUCCUACGGGAGGCAGCAGUAGGGAAUCUUCCGCAAUGGACGAAAGUCUGACGGAGCAAUGCCGCGUGAGUGAAGAAGGUUUUCGGAUCGUAAAACUCUGUUGUUAGAGAAGAACAAGGAUGAGAGUAACUGCUCAUCCCCUGACGGUAUCUAACCAGAAAGCCACGGCUAACUACGUGCCAGCAGCCGCGGUAAUACGUAGGUGGCAAGCGUUGUCCGGAUUUAUUGGGCGUAAAGCGAGCGCAGGCGGUUCUUUAAGUCUGAUGUGAAAGCCCCCGGCUCAACCGGGGAGGGUCAUUGGAAACUGAAGAACUUGAGUGCAGAAGAGGAGAGUG
rnacentral:rRNA from 1 species